AUUUGCUGUGUGUGAGUUUUUGCCAGGCAAAUGAAGUGAAUCUGCUCACAAAGCAGUCCAACAAACACCCGAAUUAGCAUAAAGUAUGUAGCAGGAGUGUGUGAUCCAAAGCAGGGCAUAGUAGGAUGUUCCUGUUUUGCUGGUGACAGAUAUCCCCCUUAAGCUGUCUGGUGUAAUUUCAUCUGAAAACUGUCAGGAAGUUUUCUCAUACUGCCACGUACGUUUUCCUGCUGCUGUCCAGUCACCUAGAUAAGUAGCAGUCCUUCUCCCCCUCCCUGCCCUCCCUGAGACUUGUCACAUAAUUGCAACUUGCAAAGUAGAACAUCAUGUUCCAGAGUUGGCAAAAGAGGACAGAGGUUUGAAGAGAGGCUGUGGGAGGAAUUGCUGUUGGUGCACUUUGUCAGUGUGGUCUUCCCAUGGGCAACACACGGCGCUAGAGGCAAGAGGCAUACGUUUGCUUUCUGUACAUCAGAUGGAGUUGUUCAACCUGUUUCUGCUUUGUUAUGUAAGAGCAGCAACCAAAGAAUUCUUAUUUUAACUACUUAGACUGUAUUGGUUUCAAGGGAAAUAGCAGCACCUUAAUUUCUGAUGACCAAAUUCUUGUGAAGUUAGUUGGGUUUUUUCUGCCUGAAUUGCUAUGGGUUGUAUUUGCAUAAGAAUAAGGUCUUCUAUGAGCCUAACCCAAGAGGACAGGGAAUGAAGAGAACAGCUACUGUUCUCUACAGAUUUAUUGCAAAAGGCAAUAAAGGAUAAUGUACUAUGUAGUUCUGUGUAGUUUGGUUUCCUGGUUGCCAUUGGUCACUCAUCUGUGUGCCCUAAUUAUUUUUGCUAAAAAGGGAGUCCUAAAUAUUAUUUAUAAAUCCUUUCCACCUUCUUGUGUCCUUGUUUCCUAGCUGUGGGACUUAAAAGUUUGCUAGUGUUCAAUUUCCCGGGAAGGUGAAAGUGUUCAAUGAGAACUUGGACAGCUUUGAGACUAUUGUUUAAUUUCACUAAUAAAGCAAAAUUCAUGUGGAAACGGAAGGUGAGAAGUAGCAUGGAAGUAGAUAUGGUGUGACAUGAGAGGUCUUAACUUCAAUGGCCUUGAGAAUGUCCUUCUCGUCCUGUUUUCUCAGAGACCAUUGUCUUCCUUUUUUGAUCUGUUUUCCUUCCUGGUCUCUUCUCAGAUGUACCUAUUUCAGUGACUUUGGGUCUCUGGAUUGUGUGUUUGGAGUUUGGAAGGUGUAUACUCUCUUUCCCUUAGAUGCCCUAAGAAACAUAUUUUUAAACACCGUGUAGCUGUGAAGACCUGGGGCUCUUUCUUAUGUAACAUUUUGGUUCUGGUAUGGUGACCUCCUGGUGCAUAUGUCCACAGCGGGCCCCUGCAGCCCUGUUGUGUGUGGGCAGCCAUCAAGAACACCUGUCAUCUUGACUGGUGAUGGGAAGGAGCAGCAGUUUUUCUGUCUAUGGCAGGGUUGUUGUCCACUCCGGACUGACCUCCUAUGUUUCAGGGCCAAAAGAGCAGAAAAAUACUAAUUUGUAGGUGUGUCACAGUGCCCUCUGCUGACUUCUGACGUGGUGGACUUGUCCUGACACGUGGGUCCCAAGCAAACUGCCUUCUGAUUCAGUUUGAGACUGCGAUUUGGGAUUCAUUAACUCUGCUAAAAUAGGUUGGUUAAAGCUUUAAAGAACUAGGGAAUGGAGCUAAUAGAGAAUUUGAAUUCUUAAUUGCAUGUGAAUUGUCUUGAGGAGUCAUGCACAGGAAAUGGGGAGUGGUUCAAAUUCACUGUUCCACAUAAUAAUCUUCAGCAAAACUUUGUUUUAAUGAAAUCUUUUCUCUUUGCUCUAUCAAUGCUAUUAUUCUUAAGCGUCUAAACUUGUGAAAUACCUUGUGCUAAAUGCAUGUUGUCCUUACGUCAAGAAGCAGAAGACUUGAAGUGCAUAAUUAAAAACAUCUUUUCAUUUUCAAGUUCAGUGUCAAUUGGGUGCUGUUGUAGUAAGUAUAGGUCGUUAUUAUUUCUAAAAUACACUGGCUGUUGCAACAGUUUUUGGAAUGUUUACUUCAGGGUUUUUCCUUUUUUUUUUUUUUUUUCUAUUCAGUUACAAAACCAACAAGAAGAUAAAACUUUCAUUCAGAGUCUCAGAAACUUCUCAGAGUGAGCCUUGCAAAUACUCCUUGAUUCUGAUAUUAGAUUAUAACUAAAUAUGUUAAGCUGGACAAAGACUGUCUGGGGACACAGGAGGUGACCUGAAGAUGUCCAGCUGCCCCUAGAAUUACUACAUAUCUGAGAAUGGGUGGCUGAAGCCAGAGCUUCUGUGUUUAUUGGAUUGUUGUCAGGAAUACCCUGGUUUAGCAUG